CAAGCCGCGCGCACAGCCGCAAAUCUCGAAAUGCGCCAAAUGUGCUUGUGUUUUAUGCCUGCGCCUACAUGACAGAUCGCUUUUUUCGCAGGCGUUGUGCUAGUUGCGCAUGUCAAUAGCGCAAGUUGGUCAUAAAUCCUAGUUAGAGAGAAAGGGCUUCGUUUGUUCUCUUGUGCGAAGCGCGUCCGCCGCGGACGGGAAUGAUGUUCCCCACACGUGACGUGCCGGUGUAGUUGGUGUAGUUGCGGAUACCUGCCAAAAACAGUCACCAUUUGACGUUCGUGUCAUAUUUCAGAGUGCUCACAAGGUGUCACAAUAGCGGAGCCCCUGUUUGCAUCCAAGACCAUUCUCCUUGCCCCUUUCAUCCUAGUUGCUUGCCUCAUCAUCGACUGUACUAAGGUGAGUGGCAGCUGCUUCCUUUUCUUUUUUUCAGAGCGCUUUGCCCUUGGCUACCAGCUGACUGCCCUGACACACAGCCCGAGCACCUAAGAGACGUAGUGACUUCUCAUCAUCUUAGAAGAGGAAGAAAAAAAGGGACACAAUCCACUUGCAGCCAAGCAUUGUAAGUGUGAUGUUACUUGAGGUUGCAGACACAUCAAGAGCCUUGCUGGCUGAACCACCACGUACAACUGAAGAAGAGUUACAACUGUAGUAUUCAGGUCUUGCUGAUGCUCUUGUGCUGCACCAGCUUUCUUCAUCGUGCUCUUACAGUAAAGUGCUAGCUUCGAGCCACUUGCAGGAACAUGGUCCAAGGACUUGGAAACACUGUUUCAACGUGGUGGCAACUUCCUUGCUGAGUAUCACAUCAGUCAAGAAAUGGUGGACCACGUUGAAGGCUUCACAGAAGGACAAUCAAGUUGUCCAAAGUGGCUUGCAUAUCGUGCUGGCAGAAUCGCAGAUUCUGUGACAAAAUGUGUUAA